UAAAGAUCGAUAAAAUCCUUUGUUUCCCUUUCCUUUUUUAUUUAUCUAUUUGUAUUUAUUCUUUUAUUUUAUUCUAUUGGUAUUUUAUUCUAUUGCUUUUGUUUAUAUUCUGUUAUAUCAUAUUCCUUAUUAUAUAUUUUAUAAUAAAUUUUUAUAAUUUCAUAGUUGGAAGCUACAAAGGGAGAUUCAUGAAUUUGUGAGCCUAAUCGUAAUAUAGUUUAUAAGCUAUGAACUUAAUGGUGGUCCAACGAUAAAUCUUGUUGAUCAUAAUAUUAGAUGGAGAAUGCACAGCCGAAAGCUAGCAUUUGGCUAUGUUAUUUCAGAUCUAAUUUUGAUUUAGGACUCUUAAGAAAACAAGGGCCUUCUGAUUUAAAUUAGGCUGAAAGUUUGUCUUGUGUUAGAGCACUCUCAGACCAAUUACAUAAAUUUUGAUAGAAAAAAUUCUUUUUGUCAGCAUAUUUAUUCUUCAUUCGUUGUAAUUUACAGAAAAACAGGGAAGGUCAUUUAACUAAUCAAAACAUGAGUAUAUAUAACAAUACUUUCGUAUAGAAAAGAUUCUCAAAUUUAAUGUAACCUCUGUCAUUGCUCAUAAGCCCAUCUGUUCCCAUCUUCUUUUUCUCCACUUCAACCCUCUCUCACUUGUGUAAAUGGCUUCCUUUCCCAGAGGUACUCUUCAGAGUCAACCAUCUGUUUGCCACUUACCCACUAGCUACUGCCACUAGCAAUCAUUACCCACUAGCUACUGCCACCACCAAUCAUUACCCACUUGUCCUCUCUCUUUCUCUCUCAACUAUUUGAGGGCCUUGGGUUACACAUACAUUAUAUUCUGACUGAGCUACCAAAAAGUUUCUAUUUGAACUGGUGAGCUGUGUCCAUCUCAACUAAGUCAAACGUGGUUCAUGCUAUCCUGACCCAAGUCAGGCCCCAUUUCUAGCACCAAGUUUGUGUUCCAUAAUCAAUAAUAUGAAAGGUCAAGGUGUUUAAUGCUCCAUUAUCAAGUGGGGUACUUAAACAAUAUUAUAAACAUGCAGUG
rnacentral:lncRNA from 1 species